rnacentral:rRNA from 1 species
AUGGCGGCGGAGGCGGACGACCCGACGGCGGCGUCAGCGACGCUGGAGAAGUUCCGCCUCUACGAAACGCGCGCCAGGUUCUACGUGAUCGGGAGCUCGCGGGAGAAGCGGUGGUUUCGGGUGCUCAAGAUUGACCGCUCGGAGCCGUCGGAGCUCCACCUCAGCGAGGACCCCGUCUGGUACUCCCAGCAGGAGGUCAAGAGCCUACUCCAGCGCAUCGCCGAGGGCAACCGCUCCACCGGCGGCCUCACCUUCGUCACCAAGGCCUACGGCAUCGCAGGUUGCAUCAAGUUCUUGGAGUCAUAUUACCUGAUUUUAGUCACCAAGCGCCGUCAAAUCGGUUGCAUCUGUGGCCAUGCUAUAUAUUGUAUAGAUGAGAGCCAGAUGAUCACCAUCCCGCACUCAUCUGUACAGACAGAUGUUGCAACCUCUAAGAACGAGCUAAGGUACAAGAAGCUUUUGGCCAGUGUUGAUCUCACAAAGGAUUUCUUCUAUAGCUACACAUACCCAAUCAUGCAGAGCUUGCAGCAGAAUGUCACCUCUGCAGGGAUGAAGGAAACACCUUAUGAAAAUUUGUUUGUAUGGAACACUUUUCUGACAGAGCCGAUUCGCUCAAGGUGCCGCAAUGCUCUGUGGAGUGUAGCUCUCGUUCAUGGACACUUUAAGCAGGUCAAGCUGUCAGUAUUUGGCAGGGAGUUAAAUGUUAUUCUCAUUUCGAGAAGAUCUCGGCAUUUUGCUGGGACACGGUAUUUGAAAAGAGGCGUGAAUGACCAUGGAAAAGUUGCAAACGAUGUUGAAACAGAGCAAAUAGUAUUUGAAGAGGAAGCUGGUUCCUGGAAGGGAAGAAUGAGUGCAAUAGUACAGAUGCGAGGAUCGAUCCCUCUCUUUUGGUCACAAGAGGCUGGCCGACUUAGUCCUAAGCCUGAUAUUUUUGUGCAGAGGUAUGAUCCUACUUAUGAAGCAACCAAGUUACAUUUUGAUGAUCUCGCUCAGCGAUAUGGACAGCCUAUCAUAAUACUUAAUUUAAUAAAGACUGUUGAAAAAAGGCCAAGGGAGAUGAUGCUCAGGCGUGAAUUCUUUAAUGCAGUUGGAUAUCUUAAUCAGAAUGUCCCAGAAGAGAGGAAACUGAGAUUCAUACACUGGGAUUUUCAUAAAUUUGCGAAAAGCAAGUCCGCAAAUGUGCUGGGUGUUUUAGGAGGUGUGGCGAGUGAAGCACUGGACCUUACUGGAUUUUACUACAGUGGGAAGCCAAAAGUUCAGAAAAGAAGGUCUAUCCAGCUUAGUCGAACUAGCACUGCAAGGGAUGUUGAAAUAAGAGCUAGUUCUGGAGACCUUCCGAGACUCUCUAGCAAUGCUGAUGCACUUGGUUCUAUAGCUUCUCAGGAUAUGAGAAAAGAGGAUAGCAAACAUGAGCCUCUUGGUGAUGCUCCUUGUUAUCAAACUGGAGUUCUUCGUACGAAUUGCAUAGAUUGCCUGGAUCGCACAAAUGUCGCACAGUAUGCUUAUGGCCUUGCUGCUUUGGGGAGGCAACUUCAUGCGAUGGGACUGACAGAUGUUUCAAAAAUCCACCCAGAUAGCAGCAUCGCUUCAGCUUUAAUGGAAAUGUACCAGAGCAUGGGUGAUGCACUUGCUCAUCAGUACGGAGGCUCUGCAGCACAUAAUACGGUUUUCCCCGAGAGGCAAGGGAAGUGGAAGGCUACUACUCAAUCUAGGGAGUUUCUGAAAUCAAUUAAACGAUAUUACAGCAAUGCUUACACCGACGGUGAGAAACAAGAUGCUAUAAAUUUAUUUCUGGGUUAUUUCCAACCUCAAGAAGGAAAACCGGCUCUCUGGGAUCUGGAUACUGAUUACUAUCUCCACGUGACAACAGCUGGUGAUGAUAGCUACCAUCUUAGUUCCCCACAUGGAAAUAAUGUGCCCGGGGGAUCUGGAGAUGCCAUGAGCCCAAGACCCACAUUGAGCCCUGUGCCAGCAUGUAAAGAGGACUUUUCUAGGAUGAAACUUACUUCAUUCGACAAACUUAUAGAAAGAACCUGUAGUUCGAUAAGGAAUGUGAGGCUUCACUGUGAUGCUGAUCUAAGGCCAAGUGGUGGUGUUGGAACUUCUGCAAUGGCACCCGAUGCAGCUGAGAUACAACUUAAAAGCCCAAACUGGUUGUUUGGUCAAAGAAAACAUGCAGAGACAGUUCCAACAACAAAAGUUACUCCAGUUGAAAAUGCGAACGAGGGAAACAAAGAUGAGACGAAUGUGUCUCUGUGUGGGGAGCUGAACUGGCUUUCCUCCUCGGCAGAUUCAUGCGAGGAGGACAACUUCAGAAGGUAUCUAGCAUUCACGACAGCGGAUGUAGACAAUGGCUGGUACAGUGGAGCACUGCUAUACGAUCAAGAUGAGAACAGCGGUGCUUAUAAACAUUACUCCGAAUUUUGCCAGGGUCCAGUCAUGGAUCCUUUUGAGCACGACCCAGAGAAAGAAGGGCACUACAGGGAGGCUCUUAGCAUGGACAUCGAACUUACGGACGAUGCACAGGUGGAGGCAGAAAUGAAAGCCGCUCUGGACGACUACCAGGUGAUAGGUUCAGACCUGAGCAUCAUCCCGUCGUGCGGCUCCCUCGCCGAGGACCCAAGCCAGCUGACAAGGUGGAUCAUUGGGGACGAGAAGCUGCGCGUCGUCGGCGCUGUGCAGUAG